UGGAGCCGUAGUUCAGCUUGGGUAGAACGCUAGCCUGUCACGCUAGAGGUCGCGAGUUCGAGUCUCGUCGGCUCCGG
rnacentral:tRNA from 1 species